CAGCCGCCGCGGUAACACGGAGGGGGCUAGCGUUGUUCGGAAUUACUGGGCGUAAAGCGCACGUAGGCGGCUUGGUAAGUUAGAGGUGAAAGCCUGGAGCUCAACUCCAGAAUUGCCUUUAAGACUGCCGAGCUAGCAGGUGAGAGAGGUAAGUGGAAUUCCGAGUGUAGAGGUGAAAUUCGUAGAUAUUCGGAAGAACACCAGUGGCGAAGGCGGCUUACUGGCUCAUACUGGACGCUGAGGUGCGAAAGCGUGGGGAGCAAACAGGAUUAGAUACCCCUGUAGUCCCUGUCUCUUAUAC
rnacentral:rRNA from 1 species